ACAUGUCCAGUAGUGGGGGAUAGCCCGGCGAAAGCCGGAUUAAUACCGCAUACGAUCUUUGGAUGAAAGCGGGGGAUCGCAAGACCUCGCGCUAUUGGGGUGGCCGAUGGCGGAUUAGCUAGUUGGUGGGGUAAAGGCCCACCAAGGCGACGAUCCGUAGCUGGUCUGAGAGGACGACCAGCCACACUGGGACUGAGACACGGCCCAGACUCCUACGGGAGGCAGCAGUGGGGAAUUUUGGACAAUGGGCGAAAGCCUGAUCCAGCAAUGCCGCGUGUGUGAAGAAGGCCUUCGGGUUGUAAAGCACUUUUGUCCGGAAAGAAAUCCUGGUGGCUAAUAUCCGCCGGGGAUGACGGUACCGGAAGAAUAAGCACCGGCUAACUACGUGCCAGCAGCCGCGGUAAUACGUAGGGUGCGAGCGUUAAUCGGAAUUACUGGGCGUAAAGCGUGCGCAGGCGGUGAUGUAAGACCGAUGUGAAAUCCCCGGGCUUAACCUGGGAACUGCAUUGGUGACUGCAUCGCUGGAGUAUGGCAGAGGGGGGUAGAAUUCCACGUGUAGCAGUGAAAUGCGUAGAGAUGUGGAGGAAUACCGAUGGCGAAGGCAGCCCCCUGGGCCAAUACUGACGCUCAUGCACGAAAGCGUGGGGAGCAAACAG
rnacentral:rRNA from 1 species